rfam:Erinaceus europaeus unplaced genomic scaffold scaffold01162, whole genome shotgun sequence
GUGUUUGCUUUGGCAGCACAUAUACUAAAAGUGGAACAACACUGAGAAGAUUAGCAUGGCCCCCACACAAGGAUGACACAAAGAUUUGUGAAGUGUUCCAUAUUCUU